GAUGAACGCUGGCGGCGUGCUUAACACAUGCAAGUCGAACGGAAAGGCUCCUGCUUGCAGGUGUGCUCGAGUGGCGAACGGGUGAGUAACACGUGGGUGAUCUGCCCUGCACUACGGGAUAAACCUAGGAAACUGGGUCUAAUAACGGAUAGGAAGAUGGUUUUGAUGCCAUUGUGGCAAGUUUUUUCGGUGUGGGAUGAGCUCGCGGCCUAUCAGCUUGUUGGUGGGGUAAUGGACUACCAAGGCGUCGACCGGUAGCCGGCCUGGGAGGGUGUGCGGCCAGAUUGGGAUGGAGCUGCGGCCCAGCCUACUACGGGAGGCAGCAGAGGGGAAGAGUGCACUAUGGGCGGAAGCAUGAUGUAGUGAAGCCGCGUGGGGGAUGACGGCAUGCGUGUUGUAAACUCAUCUCGCUAGGGACGAAGCGCAAGUGACGGUACCUGGAGAAGAAGCACCGGCUAACUACGUG
rnacentral:rRNA from 1 species